UACGUAGGGCGCAAGCGUUGUCCGGAAUUAUUGGGCGUAAAGAGCUCGUAGGUGGCUUGUUGCGUCUGCCGUGAAAGCCCGUGGCUUAACUACGGGUCUGCGGUGGAUACGGGCAGGCUAGAGGCUGGUAGGGGCAAGCGGAAUUCCUGGUGUAGCGGUGAAAUGCGCAGAUAUCAGGAAGAACACCCGUGGCGAAGGCGGCUCUCUGGGACGGUACUGACGCUGAGACGCGAAAGCGUGGGGAGCGAACAGG
rnacentral:rRNA from 1 species